rnacentral:rRNA from 1 species
CCUACGGGUGGCUGCAGUGGGGAAUAUUGCACAAUGGGCGCAAGCCUGAUGCAGCCAUGCCGCGUGUGUGAAGAAGGCCUUCGGGUUGUAAAGCACUUUCAGCGGGGAGGAAGGCGGUGAGGUUAAUAACCUCAUCGAUUGACGUUACCCGCAGAAGAAGCACCGGCUAACUCCGUGCCAGCAGCCGCGGUAAUACGGAGGGUGCAAGCGUUAAUCGGAAUUACUGGGCGUAAAGCGCACGCAGGCGGUCUGUCAAGUCGGAUGUGAAAUCCCCGGGCUCAACCUGGGAACUGCAUUCGAAACUGGCAGGCUAGAGUCUUGUAGAGGGGGGUAGAAUUCCAGGUGUAGCGGUGAAAUGCGUAGAGAUCUGGAGGAAUACCGGUGGCGAAGGCGGCCCCCUGGACAAAGACGGACGCUCAGGUGCGAAAGCGUGGGGAGCAAACAGGAUUAGAUACCCUAGUAGUC